rnacentral:rRNA from 1 species
AGUGAACGUCGGCGGCGUGGAUUAGGCAUGCAAGUCGAGCGAGAACCGUAGCAAUACGGGGACAGCGGCGAAAGGGACAGUAAUGUGUAGGUACCUACCCCGAGGUCUGGGAUAGCUGCGGGAAACUGCAGGCAAUACCGGAUAAUGUCUUCGGACCAAAGGUGUGAUUCCACCUUGGGAGGGGCCUGCAUCCUAUUAGCUAGUUGGCGGGGUAAUGGCCCACCAAGGCAACGAUGGGUAGCGGGUGUGAGAGCACGACCCGCGUCAUUGGGACUGAGACACUGCCCAGACACCUACGGGUGGCUGCAGUCGAGGAUCUUCGGCAAUGGGCGCAAGCCUGACCGAGCGACGCCGCGUGCGGGAUGAAGGCCUUCGGGUUGUAAACCGCUGUCGUAGAGGAGGAAAUGCAGGGGGGUUCUCCCCUCUGUUUGACCUAUUCUAGGAGGAAGGACGGGCUAAGUUCGUGCCAGCCGCCGCCGUAA